rnacentral:rRNA from 1 species
GUGCCAGCAGCCGCGGUAAUACGGAAGGUCCGGGCGUUAUCCGGAUUUAUUGGGUUUAAAGGGAGCGCAGGCUGGCUUUUAAGCGUGACGUGAAAUGCGGCGGCUCAACCGUCCGAAGUGCGUCGCGAACUGGAGGUCUUGAGUGAGUUCGACGCCGGCGGAAUUCGUGGUGUAGCGGUGAAAUGCUUAGAUAUCACGAAGAACCCCGAUUGCGAAGGCAGCCGGCGAGGCCUUUACUGACGCUAAAGCUCGAAGGUGCGGGUAUCGAACAGGAUUAGAUACCCUGGUAGUCCGCACGGUAAACGAUGGAUGCCCGCUGUUUGCGAUAUACUGUGAGCGGCCAAGCGAAAGCGUUAAGCAUCCCACCUGGGGAGUACGCCGGCAACGGUGAAACUCAAAGGAAUUGACGGGGGCCCGCACAAGCGGAGGAACAUGUGGUUUAAUUCGAUGAUACGCGAGGAACCUUACCCGGGCUUGAACUGCCGGUGAACGAUUCAGAGAUGAUGAGGUCCUUCGGGACGCCGGUGGAGGUGCUGCAUGGUUGUCGUCAGCUCGUGCCGUGAGGUGUCGGCUUAAGUGCCAUAACGAGCGCAACCCCUCUCUUCAGUUGCCAUCGGGUAAUGCCGGGCACUCUGGAGACACUGCCACCGUAAGGUGUGAGGAAGGUGGGGAUGACGUCAAAUCAGCACGGCCCUUACGUCCGGGGCUACACACGUGUUACAAUGGGUGGUACAGAGAGUCGGUGCUGCGCAAGCCGCAUCCAAUCAAGAAGGCCAUCCUCAGUUCGGACUGGGGUCUGCAACCCGACCCCACGAAGCUGGAUUCGCUAGUAAUCGCGCAUCAGCCAUGGCGCGGUGAAUACGUUCCCGGGCCUUGUACACACCGCCCGU